rnacentral:rRNA from 1 species
UACAGAGGUCCCAAGCGUUGUUCGGAUUCACUGGGCGUAGAGGGUGCGUAGGCGGUCGGGCAAGUCUGAUGUGAAAGCUCGAAGCUUAACUUCGAAAUGGCAUUGGAUACUAUUCGGCUUGAGGAACGGAAAAGAGACUGGAAUGCUCGGUGUAGCAGUGAAAUGCGUAGAUAUCUGGAGGAACACCGGUGGCGAAGGCGGCAUCCUGGACCAACACUGACACUGAGGAGCGAAA